GAGUUUGAUCUUGGCUCAGAUUGAACGCUGGCGGCAUGCCUUACACAUGCAAGUCGAACGGCAGCAUGAUCUAGCUUGCUAGAUUGAUGGCGAGUGGCGAACGGGUGAGUAAUACAUCGGAACGUGCCCUGUAGUGGGGGAUAACUAGUCGAAAGAUUAGCUAAUACCGCAUACGACCUGAGGGUGAAAGUGGGGGACCUCAAGGCCUCAUGCUAUAGGAGCGGCCGAUGUCUGAUUAGCUAGUUGGUGGGGUAAAGGCCCACCAAGGCGACGAUCAGUAGCUGGUCUGAGAGGACGAUCAGCCACACUGGGACUGAGACACGGCCCAGACUCCUACGGGAGGCAGCAGUGGGGAAUUUUGGACAAUGGGCGAAAGCCUGAUCCAGCAAUGCCGCGUGUGUGAAGAAGGCCUCGGUUGUAAGU
rnacentral:rRNA from 1 species